UGGGGAAUAUUGCGCAAUGGGGGAAACCCUGACGCAGCGACGCCGCGUGUGGGAUGAAGGUCUUCGGAUUGUAAACCACUGUCGCGAGGGACGAAGCUCUGACGGUACCUCGAAAGGAAGCACCGGCUAACUCUGUGCCAGCAGCCGCGGUAAUACAGAGGGUGCGAGCAUUGUCCGGAAUCACUGGGCGUAAAGGGCGCGUAGGCGGCCCGGUAAGUAGGGGGGUGAAAUCUCAUGGCUCAACUGUGAGGCUGCCUUCUAGACUGCCAGGCUUGAGCACAGUAGAGGCGAGUGGAAUUCCCGGUGUAGCGGUGGAAUGCGUAGAGAUCGGGAAGAACAUCGGUGGCGAAGGCGGCUCGCUGGGCUGUUGCUGACGCUGAGGCGCGAAAGCGUGGGGAGCAAACAGGAUUAGAUACCCAUGUAGUCCCUGAGCGGGCUGGCAAGGCGCAU
rnacentral:rRNA from 1 species